UCCAGAUUCAUCAGGGAGGCUGCUUUUCUUCUCUGCACUGUAAUCACACUGAGCUGCAAUUAAAAUAAACAAUCGCUUCUAGGUUUUGUGUUCUUGCAUUGAAAGGCUUCACCACGCUGAUUUAAAAAACUCAUAUGUUAACAGAACACAGUAUGGCAUUCAACUAUUUAGAGUGAUACACUUAGAAUGGAUGAAUAACGUGUAGAGAAAGUUAAUCAGAAAAGCACAUUUAGAGCACAGUGCAUCAGCACGAUUCAGGGCUUGUAUUGAACCAGUAACACGAUGCUGCACUGCACUAUGCAAAGAAAGUGAAUUAACAAAUCUCAAAGCAAAAUGACUCGGAAGAAUAAGACUUUCAAUUUGUGAAGGUCACUGCUUCAGAAUCACCUGGACUGUGAAAACACAGACUGCUGGGCCUUACAACCAGAGCUUUAGUAGGGGUGGGAUGAACUGUUUCUGUAUGUUCCCCAAGACAUCUGCAUACUCCAGAGUCUAUUAGGGUCAAAAGAGCUAUUAGGCACUGUUAGGGGUUGAAUUGUGUCCUAACCCCCAGUAUCUGGGAAUGUGACCUUAUUUGGAAAGAGAGUCCUUGCUGAUGAUCAAGUUGAGAUGAGAUCAUUAGGGUGGACCAUAAUCCAUAUGACUGGUGUCUUCAUAAAAGGGGAAAUUUGGACACAGAGACACACAUGUACAAAGGAAAGACAAGUUGAAGACACAGAGAGAACACAAUCUACAAGCCAAAGAAUGUCUGAGGCUACCAGAAGCUGGGAGAAAGGCAUGGAACAGAUUCUCCCUCACAGCUCUCAGAAGGAACUAACAAUGUCAAUACCUCAAUUUUGGACUUCUAGCCUCUGGAACUAAGAGACAAUUAUUUUGCGUUGUUUAAGCCACCCAGUUUCUAAUACUUUGUUAUGGCAAGAACUAUACAGGCAUCAUGAAUACAAAGCUGUCACAACAUACUGUCAGACAGACAAGUGCAAAUAAUCUAUCAAUUAAAAAAUGGAAAUUAAAAAAUGGAUUAGCUCUCUCCACACUUACUAGCCUGGUUAUAGUACAUCUGAAAAAAAUAUUUUUGUACAACUAGAAUUGUUAAACAGUUUUUCUGGCACUUAUCUGAAUGAGAUAAUAAUACAAGCCUAAUCAGGAAGAGUUAGAAAAACACAUUUUCUAUGAAGAACCAGAAACUUAUAGUUCCCAUGUCCUAACAUACAAGUGAUAAGAAUGAAUGUUAUGGCUAUUACAGUAAUAUAAAAUAUUGAAAUAACAGUAUCCUGCUAAAAUGAGCUUAUUAUAUUUCUUAUUAUGCCCAAAAGCAAAAUUAAAUGUUAUGAAGAGAACUAUAUUGGCUGGUCCAAUUUACCAAGAUGUUUAAAUAUGUAGCCUCUAAAUUUUAAGAAGCACAUCAUAUGCUAGAGAAAACGGGGGAAAAAAUUCCAUCAUCUGUAAUAAUCAUUUUCAUAUUUAUACGCAGACUUCAUAUAAUGCAACUUCUUCUAUACUGCUACCAUAAUGGUUGAGGAACAGUUCAGAUUGGAUAAAUCCUAGUAUAUGCAACUGUUCCUUUUCUAUUCAUCAUUUUGGUUGCUUUUGAUCUUCCUAUAUUAUUAACAUUACUGUACUGAGUACCUUCUUUCAAAUUUUUUUUGUAUUUUAAAUUACUCAUUAGAAUAGAUAUCUGGAAAUGGGAGCUACCUGAAAGAUUAUUUCAAUGGCUAUUCCUCAAUUAACUUCUAAAUGGCUCAUAUCAAUUCAUAAUGCCAUGAUGCUUAGGAGUAACGAUUUCACUAUAGCUACUACAGUAGACCACAAAGAUGGAGUAGACCAUAUAUUCAGAGAAAUUCCAACAAACAUUUGAAGUUAGAACAUCAAAUGAAGAGAUCUAAAAAGCCUCAAUCAUAAUCCAAAAAUUGUUUACUUUUUGAAUGCCUCAAGGAAAAAAACUUGAACUCUUGCUAUAUUUAGUUCUAAGGCAUAAAUCUAAAUAUAUUUUAAUAUAUUCCAGUAGGCAAAAGUAUUUUUUAUGUGAUGUGUCUUUUGGGAUGGAUUAAAAUGAAAAAAGAUGAAUGGGUUAAAAAAUAAUUUUAGAGAUGCAUAAGAAUAAAGGGGAUCCUAAUACGUUCUCUGAAAUACUACACAAGUUCUAUUGGUAAAACAGAAAUAAGAGCUCUACCUUUUAUUAUUUACAUAUGAUGAAUCACUGAUGUUCAAAGCUUUUAUUCACAUUAUAUUGCGUGUGGGCUUUUAGGGUUAUGGAUGAUUUCUGUAUUGUUAUUUCCAAGUAGAGAAAUAAUUUGGAUUUGGCUCAGGUAAAAUUCUAUAACAUGUGUAUCAUGCUGCAGCAGAAAGCACUUCCCAGGGGAGUCAUUAUCUCACCUCAGCUACCUUUUCAUUUGCCAUUUCCAGCUGAGAAAGCAGCUCUUGGGUAUGAAGUUUCUGUCGACUCAGCUCACUCCUAUUAAGAGCACCAAAAAAUCCAUUAAUAUAAUUGUUCCAAAUAGAAAACAGAAUCUUUAUUAGCAAGAUACAUGUUCAUGAUUUGAACAAAAAUAUCAUCUUGAGGUGGAAAAUAAAGUCACUUACUAAUAGACCAUAUCUCAAGGACUUGUUUAUUUCUUUUUAACAAAACACACAUAUACUCUAGAGAUUAGUUGCACAACAAUGUGUAUACAUGUAACACUAUUGGAUUGUACACUUAAAAAUAGUUAAGGUGGUAAGUUUUAUGUGUAUUUUAUCAUAAUUUAAAAAAUUUUAUCACAAUUAAAAUGGUAAAUUUUAUGUAUAUUUUGCCAAACUAAAAAAAGCAAAAU
rnacentral:lncRNA from 10 species